AACCCUGUCCCCAGGCCCCUAGUCUGGCACUCCGCCAUACUUCGGGCGAGGCGCGACCAAAGAAUCGCGUGGGAAAAUCAGGUUCUUCUGAGGAGGCUGCUCCCAUUGGCGCGGAACGAGGAGGAGAGGCGCCGCCUCCUGAGAAUUUACGGUUCCAACUAAAAUUGUAAGUUUGACUCCUGCUUGUUGUGUGUGAACAGAUGAGUCGGUGAUGUUAUUUUUCAAUCAAAUGUGCAUUAAAAAAAAGAAAUC